rnacentral:rRNA from 1 species
UUGAUCCUGCCGGACCCGACUGCUAUCAGAGUGGGACUAAGCCAUGCGAGUCAACAUAGCAAUAUGUGGCAUACGGCUCAGUAACACGUAGUCAACAUGCCCAGGGGACGUGGAUAACCUCGGGAAACUGAGGAUAAACCGCGAUAGGUCAUUACUUCUGGAAUGGGUAAUGACUUAAAUCUACAUGGCCCCUGGAUUGGACUGCGGCCGAUCAGGCUGUUGGUGAGGUAAUGGCCCACCAAACCUAAAACCGGUACGGGCUCUGAGAGGAGAAGCCCGGAGAUGGGCACUGAGACAAGGGCCCAGGCCCUAUGGGGCGCAGCAGGCGCGAAAACUCUGCAAUAAGCGAAAGCUUGACAGGGUUAUUCUGAGUGAUUUCCGCUAAGGAAAUCUUUUGGCACCUCUAAAAAUGGUGCAGAAUAAGGGGUGGGCAAGCCUGGUGUCAGCCGCCGCGGUAAUACCAGCACCCCGAGUGGUCGGGACGAUUAUUGGGCCUAAAGCAUCCGUAGCCGGUUCUACAAGUCUUCCGUUAAAUCCACCUGCUUAACAGAUGGGCUGCGGAGGAUACUAUGGAGCUAGGAGGCGGGAGAGGCAAGCGGUACUUAGUGGGUAGGGGUAAAAUCCGUUGAUCCAUUGAAGACCACCAGUGGCGAAGGCGGCUUGCCAGAACGCACUCGACGGUGAGGGAUGAAAGCUGGGGGAGCAAACCGGAUUAGAUACC